ensembl:lncRNA
GUUUACUGGUCUAGUUAUAUGUACAUAUUGUAUCAACCUUUCUGUAUGACAGGAUGUGGUGAGGUCUGGAUACAAGCUACAUUGAAAUAUUAUGUCAGAAGGUGUGAACUCUGUCAACAGUAGCAACUGCAGCAGAUGUGUAAUAAAAUUUAAUUUAAAUAUGAUGCGGUUUUGAUGUUCUAAAUAGAGCACAUAUUGUUUGGGCAUUUGUAAGCAGUGUAACCAACAUUAUUCAAAUAUGUAUUUAAUUUGAAUCCCUAGAUAAACAGGUUUCGUAUUAUACUUUAGCAAGAGUCCAUAUACAGGCUGAAAACGUGGGUGUCUCUCAGGAAGUGAAAGAGGACAGCUACCUACAGGAUGGGCUGUUUCUGUGCUCUGCUUCUUACAUGUGUCAUUGCAAAUUGGUGUGGGUAAUGGGUAGGACAUGUGUGUGAAAUAUUUUGUUCAGCUGUUAACAUUUUUCAGUGCCCUUGUGCCAUAUGGAUUAAAUUGUUCAGAGUCAUGUAGCAACACUACUCUCAACAUUUGGCUGGGCUCGGAGGUCUUGCUCCCAUGCAGCCUUUUGAAAAGUGGAAAAACCGAAGAAGUCAGGUGGAGCCAAACUUCCAGCCUUCUGAGCAUCGGGUCUUCUGGAAAUGUCACCUUUGAGGAUCCUAGGGAUGGCAGAUUGACAGCAUUCCCCUUCCUGUUUGGCAGAGGAAACUUUUCCAUCCUCGUUCAUCAGUUUCAGGCCUCUGACCUGGGCAUCUACUGCUGUCAGCUGAGCCACGAGUGCCAGAGAGUCGAAAUAAAGCUCUCGCAAAGUUCAGAAAGUCACAAAGGAGGCUUAAAUUUCCCAUGGUACUACAUUGUUGCUGGAGUUGGAAUAUUUAUUCUGCUUGUGACUGUAUUUUGUCUUAUCUACAAAUUCAGAGGAAAGUGUCUAAACAGUGCAUCUGAUUCUUAUUACGUCAACCAAGAACAAAGGGAGGGAGAACAUAGAGAUCGUGUUGACCGCACCAAGGUUGAUGAGUGUGAUGGUGAGUAUGAAGACAUAGAGAGUGAUACACAAGGGGCGGAUUAUGAAAACGCAUCAGGAGAAGAUACAAUGAGGGAAGAGCAGGACGAGGAUUAUGUAAACACUGAGAGAAGAAAUGGUCAUGAUCAGUAUUAUGAUACUGACAGAGAGUGCCCUGCUGAACACCAUGUGGAGAGAGAUAUGCAAGGUUACCAUGACAAUGAUGUCUAUGAAAAUGAUGAGCACAAUCCCAAACAAAAGUCAAAAGUCCCCCCAAAAGCAGCAGCAGCUUUCAGAAAAAUGCCAAAUCAGCAGCCGGGUUCAGUAGGACUGUACUAUGCCAAUCAGUCAGAGAUAGACAAGUCUCGCUGUGCUAGGAACAGAAACAAAGACAAAGAAUAUCAGUUCAAAAAUCCAUUAUAUGACCGAACUCCAGCAAACAAUAAAUAAACAGUCAUCUUCCAACUCACUGAAAACAUGCCUGUUUAAGUUUAUGUACUGUAAUAUUCUGUAAUGGUAUUGUUCCACUGGAUUUGUGACUUAGGAAAUAGUGAAAAUGGGUACAUGGUUCUGGUUUAUACUGCAUAAAGAUGUCUGAGGUCGUGUAUCAGUGUGAUUUCUUUCAUUGUUUAUCAGGCUUAAUCAUCAUCAGUUAUAUACUUUUGAGAUAUUUUUUCUUGUGAAGAUAAAUCAAUAAAUAGGUCCUUAACUCUUUCUUUUGAGUCUGAUUAUUUUGUGCUGAGUUUCUGAUUAAUGCAGUAUUUAUGAAGCUAAAAAUCUUUCCUCCUAGGCUCGUUUUUAGAUCUAUGAGGCCUUCUGUCUUCAGCAUGUGCGUCUGCUAGAGAGAGAAUGUUCUUCAGAUUAUCACAAGUCAAACGAUUUUCACUGUAUGUCAUUUUGUUUUUGUAAAAACCGUUAGAUUAGAGAUGCAGUUCAACCUAAUCAAGGUUACACGGACCCAGGCCAGUGGGAAGAUAGAGAGAGGCUGCAACAGAAGAUACCGGGGUGACAGUCAGAGAAAAGCUCUUAUGGCUUAGUGAUUUUUACUGAAAUAAAAUUAUACAGCACAACCUUGCAUUAUUUUAAUAAAUCUAAAUAAUAGAUUUUGUGCAUUUUUUUGGACUGAUUAUUUAUUUAUUUUAAAGAUUUUAAACUUCUUUUUUUUUUUUUUUUAAGUUAGCUAAAACAAUUUAACAAACCAAAAACUAUACUUGUUUGGUUGGAUCAAUACAUUUAUGGAUUAAUUAAAUGUGUAUAUACACCAUACUGUGAAGUCUUUACUUGCAUUCUUGUCUAUGCUGAGCAUUAGUUUAUUCUUUUUUUCUUCUAGUUUUUGUACCUUUGAGUCUCUUUACAUUUCUACUGUUUGCUUGGUUUUCACUUGUGCCUGUUCUCAUCAAUGGAUUAGAAUAUUAAUUAAAUGCCUAGCUGUAAUGUUAACCAUUUAAGAACGCUAACAUGACACAAAAUCAGCCUUCUUAGAUUUGAUCUGUUGGAUUUGACCCUAGAAAACAAUGAAGCAAUAAAAAUUAUAUUAGUCUGUGCUGUCUUAGCAGAGGUUUUUUUUUUUAUACACUCUCUCCUUUGGAAAGCAUUAGCUAAGCAUAAAUAGCUAUCUUAAAUUCUAAUAGUAGACUUGUGCCUUGCAGUAUUUGUUCACAGUUUUUCGCAGUUUGUUCCAGUGAAGGGGAAACUAAUGCUACAUCAUACAAAGACAUCCUAUACAAUUGUGUGCUUCAAACUUUGUGGCAACAUAUUGAGGAAGGCUCACAUAUGGGUUCAAUGGUCAGGUCAGGGUUUAUAAUGUAUGUCAUGAAUCUAAUCUAAUAUCCCAUAAUAUUUAAGUGGUGGGACGUCGACAAUAUAGGUUGAAAAAUGAUUUACAAAUAAAUGACUGCACCCCAUACUGCAAACACCCUAAAUUAGUUGUGGUGCACCCAGUCACCAUC